AAAUUGAAGAGUUUGAUCAUGGCUCAGAUUGAACGCUGGCGGCAGGCCUAACACAUGCAAGUCGAACGGUAACAGGAAGCAGCUUGCUGUUUCGCUGACGAGUGGCGGACGGGUGAGUAAUGUCUGGGAAACUGCCUGAUGGAGGGGGAUAACUACUGGAAACGGUGGCU
rnacentral:rRNA from 2 species